CCUCAAAGAGGGGGACAACAGUUGGAAACGACUGCUAACACCGCAUAAGCCCACGGGUCGGCAUCGACCAGAGGGAAAAGGAGCAAUCCGCUUUGAGAUGGCCUCGCGUCCGAUUAGCUAGUUGGUGAGGUAAUGGCCCACCAAGGCAACGAUCGGUAGCCGGACUGAGAGGUUGAACGGCCACAUUGGGACUGAGACACGGCCCAGACUCCUACGGGAGGCAGCAGUGGGGAAUAUUGCACAAUGGGGGAAACCCUGAUGCAGCGACGCCGCGUGGAGGAAGAAGGUCUUCGGAUUGUAAACUCCUGUUGUUGAGGAAGAUAAUGACGGUACUCAACAAGGAAGUGACGGCUAACUACGUGCCAGCAGCCGCGGUAAAACGUAGGUCACAAGCGUUGUCCGGAAUUACUGGGUGUAAAGGGAGCGCAGGCGGGAAGACAAGUUGGAAGUGAAAUCCAUGGGCUCAACCCAUGAACUGCUUUCAAAACUGUUUUUCUUGAGUAGUGCAGAGGUAGGCGGAAUUCCCGGUGUAGCGGUGGAAUGCGUAGAUAUCGGGAGGAACACCAGUGGCGAAGGCGGCCUACUGGGCACCAACUGACGCUGAGGCUCGAAAGUGUGGGUAGCAAACAGGAUUAGAUACCCUGGUAGUCCACACCGUAAACGAUGAUUACUAGGUGUUGGAGGAUUGACCCCUUCAGUG
rnacentral:rRNA from 1 species